GGGCGGCGGGAGGAGGAGGCGGCGGCGGCCUUGGCGCUGGGAGCUCCUGUCACCGCUGGGGCCGGGCCGGGCGGGAGUGCAGGGGACGUGAGGGAGCGAGGGCCGGGACAUGGGGCCCACCAGCCCCGCCGCUCGCGGUCCGGGCCGCCACCGGGGCCCGCCGCCGCUGCCGCUGUUGCUGCCGCUGUUGCUGCUCCUUCUGCGCGCGCAGCUCGCCGUCGGGAGCCUGGCCGGUGGGAGCCCCGGCGCGGCCGAGGCCCCGGGGUCGGCCCAGGUUGCUGGACUAUGCGGGCACCUAACCCUUCACCGGGACCUGCGCACCGGCCGCUGGGAACCAGACCCGCAGCGCUCGCGACGCUGUCUCCGGGACCCGCAACGCGUGCUGGAAUACUGCAGACAGAUAUACCCGGAGCUGCAGAUUGCGCGUGUGGAACAGGCGACACAGGCCAUCCCCAUGGAGCGCUGGUGUGGGGGUGCCCGGAGUGGCCGCUGUGCCCACCCCCACCACCAGGUUGUGCCUUUCCGCUGCCUGCCAGGUGAAUUCGUGAGCGAGGCCCUGCUGGUGCCUGAAGGCUGCCGGUUCUUGCAUCAGGAGCGCAUGGACCAGUGCGAGAGUUCAACCUGGAGGCAUCAGGAGGCACAGGAGGCCUGCAGCUCCCAGGGCCUCAUCCUGCAUGGCUCGGGCAUGCUUUUGCCCUGUGGCACAGAUCGGUUCCGAGGUGUGGAGUAUGUGUGCUGCCCCCCUCCAGUGACCCCCGAUCCAUCUGGGACAGCAGUUGGUGACCCCUCCACCCGGUCCUGGCCCCUAGGGGGCAGAGUAGAGGGGCGUGAGGAUGAGGAAGAAGAGGAAUCCUUCCUACAGCCAGUAGACGAUUACUUCGUGGAGCCCCCACGGGCUGAAGAGGAAGAAGAGGAGGAAAGAAUUCUACCAUCAAGCUCCCACAGCCCUGCAGGGGUCAGCAAAGUGACCACCACCCCAAGGCCCACAGAUGGUGUGGAUGUGUACUUCGGCAUGCCUGGAGAAAUCAGCGAGCAUGAGGGGUUCCUGCGGGCCAAGAUGGACCUGGAGGAACGUAGGAUGCGCCAGAUUAAUGAGGUGAUGCGUGAAUGGGCCAUGGCAGACAACCAGUCCAAGAACCUGCCGAAGGCCGACAGACAGGCCCUGAACGAGCACUUCCAGUCCAUUCUGCAGACCCUGGAGGAGCAGGUGUCUGGUGAGCGACAGCGCCUGGUGGAGACCCACGCCACCCGAGUCAUCGCCCUUAUCAACGACCAGCGCCGGGCUGCCCUGGAAGGUUUCCUGGAGGCACUGCAGGGGGACCCGCCUCAGGCCGAGCGCAUCCUGCCGGCCCUGCGGCGUUACCUGCGCGCCGAGCAGAAGGAGCAAAGGCACGCACUGAGGCAUUACCAGCAUGUGGCCGCUGUGGACCCCGAGAAGGCCCAGCAGAUGCGUUUCCAGGUGCAGACCCACCUUCAAGUCAUUGAAGAAAGGAUGAAUCAGAGCCUGGGGCUGCUUGACCAGAACCCCCGCCUGGCUCAGGAGCUGCGGCCCCAGAUCCAGGAGCUCCUCCACUCUGAGCACCUGGGUCCCAAUGAGUUGGAAGCCCCCGCCCCAGGGGGCAGCAGUGAGGACAAGAGUGGGCUGCAGCCUCUGGAUUCCAAGGAUGGAUCCUUGAUCCUCCGGCGUUGGCCCCUGGGAGGGUGUGUCUCCACCCUUUCCUCGAUGAUGCCCUCCUUUCUUCACUGUUCCGCCUGUCUUGCCUCCUCUGGCUGCCAGCAGACACUCCCAUGGCCCUUCCCAAAGGGUCUGCAGAACAAGAUGCUGCAUCCUCUGGGAAAGAGAAGAUGUCCCCCCUGGAGCAGUAUGAGCGAAAGGUGAAUGUGUCUGUUCCAAGGGGUUUUCCUUUCCACUCUUCGGAGAUUCAGAGAGAUGAGCUGGCACCAGCAGGGACAGGUGUGUCCCGAGAGGCCGUGUCUGGUCUGCUGAUCAUGGGAGCAGGUGGGGGCUCCCUGAUCGUCCUCUCCCUGCUGCUCUUGCGCAGGAAGAAGCCCUAUGGGGCUAUCAGCCAUGGAGUGGUGGAGGUGGACCCUAUGCUGACCCUGGAGGAGCAACAGCUUCGGGAACUGCAGCGUCAUGGCUAUGAGAACCCCACCUACCGCUUCCUGGAGGAACGACCCUGAACCAGCCCCCUUCACCUCCUUUGGCUGAGCCCAGACCUUCCCUCUUCCUGGAGUCCCAGAACCCCAACUCCCAGCCCGGGGAGGGGGUCUCAAAAAUGUUCAUUUCACACUCUUUGUGAGGGGGCUGGAAAUUCUUAUUUCCCCUUUCGAAUUCCAAAUUCCAUUCCCAAGAAAUCCCCAGGUAUUCCCAGCUACCUCCCUGCUUGGGACUUCCUCACCUUAAUUUAUUUUGUUAAGUUAAUUUAUUGUUCCUUAAGGUGACCACUAGCUUGGUCCCAGUGUCUGUUGUUCCCUAGAAGUCACCCUCCCAUGUGCUCUCCACUAACAACCCAAUAAAAUCCUUUUCCCCAC